rnacentral:rRNA from 1 species
CCUACGGGGGGCUGCAGUGGGGGAUAUUGCACAAUGGGGGAAACCCUGAUGCAGCGACGCCGCGUGAGUGAAGAAGUAUUUCGGUAUGUAAAGCUCUAUCAGCAGGGAAGAAAAUGACAGUACCUGACCAAGAAGCCCCGGCUAACUACGUGCCAGCAGCCGCGGUAAUACGUAGGGGGCAAGCGUUAUCCGGAUUUACUGGGUGUAAAGGGGGCGCAGACGGCGAUGCAAGCCAGGAGUGAAAGCCCGGGGCCCAACCCCGGGACUGCCCUUGGAACUGCGUGGCUGGAGUGCAGGAGGGGCAUGCGGAAUGCGUGGUGUAGCGGUGAAAUGCGUAGAUAUAGGGAGGAACACCGGUGGCGAAGGCGGCAUGCUGGAUUCAAACUGACGUUGAGGCCCGAAAGCGUGGGGAGCAAACAGGAUUAGAUACCCCUGUAGUC